GAUGAACGCUGGCGGCGUGCCUAAUACAUGCAAGUCGAGCGAACAGACGAGGAGCUUGCUCCUCUGACGUUAGCGGCGGACGGGUGAGUAACACGUGGAUAACCUACCUAUAAGACUGGGAUAACUUCGGGAAACCGGAGCUAAUACCGGAUAAUAUUUUGAGCCGCAUGGUUCAAUAGUGAAAGACGGUUUUGCUGUCACUUAUAGAUGGAUCCGCGCCGCAUUAGCUAGUUGGUAAGGUAACGGCUUACCAAGGCAACGAUGCGUAGCCGACCUGAGAGGGUGAUCGGCCACACUGGAACUGAGACACGGUCCAGACUCCUACGGGAGGCAGCAGUAGGGAAUCUUCCGCAAUGGGCGAAAGCCUGACGGAGCAACGCCGCGUGAGUGAUGAAGGUCUUCGGAUCGUAAAACUCUGUUAUUAGGGAAGAACAAAUGUGUAAGUAACUAUGCACGUCUUGACGGUACCUAAUCAGAAAGCCACGGCUAACUACGUG
rnacentral:rRNA from 1 species